CAAAUACUCAUGAAUACACACUGCUGCUGCUGCUAAGUCGCUUCAGUCGUGUCCGACUCUGUGCGACCCCAUACACGGCAGCACUAACAGCCAGCUAUCUCAGACAGGAUUCCUGUUCUGAAACUCUUCAUGGUCAGGGCUACCACCAACCGAUUGAUUCAGAAAAGGACAAGAUGGCUACGAAAAUCAGACCAUCAAAGACUCAGCCAAAGUUUUACAUCCAAGAGUCUCUCAUGACUUUCCGUUAGGAAACAUACAUAUAGAUAAGGAGAGUGAGCCUCUGCGCCAGCCACUGUAACAAUG